rnacentral:rRNA from 1 species
GGCGACGGGUGAGUAACACGUGGGUGAUCUGCCCUGCACUUUGGGAUAAGCCUGGGAAACUGGGUCUAAUACCGAAUAGGACUCCGGACUGCAUGGUCUGGGGUGGAAAGCUUUUGCGGUGUGGGAUGGGCCCGCGGCCUAUCAGCUUGUUGGUGGGGUGAUGGCCUACCAAGGCGACGACGGGUAGCCGGCCUGAGAGGGUGUCCGGCCACACUGGGACUGAGAUACGGCCCAGACUCCUACGGGAGGCAGCAGUGGGGAAUAUUGCACAAUGGGCGCAAGCCUGAUGCAGCGACGCCGCGUGAGGGAUGACGGCCUUCGGGUUGUAAACCUCUUUCGCCAGGGACGAAGCGCAAGUGACGGUACCUGGAGAAGAAGCACCGGCCAACUACGUGCCAGCAGCCGCGGUAAUACGUAGGGUGCGAGCGUUGUCCGGAAUUACUGGGCGUAAAGAGCUCGUAGGUGGUUUGUCGCGUUGUUCGUGAAAACUCACAGCUUAACUGUGGGCGUGCGGGCGAUACGGGCAGACUGGAGUACUGCAGGGGAGACUGGAAUUCCUGGUGUAGCGGUGGAAUGCGCAGAUAUCAGGAGGAACACCGGUGGCGAAGGCGGGUCUCUGGGCAGUAACUGACGCUGAGGAGCGAAAGCGUGGGGAGCGAACAGGAUUAGAUACCCUGGUAGUCCACGCCGUAAACGGUGGGUACUAGGUGUGGGUUUCCUUCCUUGGGAUCCGUGCCGUAGCUAACGCAUUAAGUACCCCGCCUGGGGAGUACGGCCGCAAGGCUAAAACUCAAAGGAAUUGACGGGGGCCCGCACAAGCGGCGGAGCAUGUGGAUUAAUUCGAUGCAACGCGAAGAACCUUACCUGGGUUUGACAUGCACAGGACGACUGCAGAGAUGUGGUUUCCCUUGUGGCCUGUGUGCAGGGUGGGCAUGGUGUCGUCAGCUCGUGUCGNGAGAU